AUUGAAGGUGGCAAGGCCUAGGUAAGAACCAGUCAUCAAUAAGAACCUUAAGCAGUGUUUGUAUGGCCACCUGCCAGGAAACGAGGGGAAUUACAUGCGCCUCUUCAGUUCUGGGAUCUUCAUUGUGACCUGCAUGAUUAUUUCUCAUGUAUACAAUUCCACCCUGAAACGAUCCAAACACUUCAGGGCAGAAAAAAGGAAGCAGAGGGCUGUGUCCCUGGAGAGGUAUAAACAACAAUACAUUCUUACUGUAGAAAACUUGAUAUGAUAGUAUUCCUGCAUUCUAUUCCUGUAUUCUACUCUAUAACUUCAGCACAAAGAUAUUGUGGGGGUCAUGAUCAUGAGUUCUUUAAUUUAAUUAAAAUUUUAAAUGAUUAAUUUAUUACCUUCAUACAUUUUAAAUUUAAUUAAUUUUUGGGAGAGCUAAGGGCACAUGUGGACAGGCACCUUAAGGGCACCUUUAGGGUCUUCUCGGAAAAGUUAGCAGUUGACCAGUUGAUCCUCAGUGUUUAAUUAACGUUUAAUGAUACCCUUGUCGCCAUGUUGUCAGUCGGUGACAGCGAGGGAGGUUCAGAAGACAAGUGAGAUGAAGGAAGGAAGAGAGGAAGUCGCAGUCUGUCUCCUGAGAAUAGGUAAAGACAGUCAUCUCAUUGACACCUGUAAAUGGAGUGUGUGUAUGUGUGUGUGCGCGCGCAAAAUAAAACGCCUGUCCGUGCGUGUAUUAGAACACAUGCAGCGGUUAAUAAAUAGUCUUCUAGUGUCACCUAGUGGACAUUUUUGCAUGAGAUAAUGACGUGCAAUUCAGCUCUGCCACUGGAGGGCACUGUCAACCAGUUAGCACAUUCUGUAGUCAGGGUUGUGUGACUAUACGGUACCGAUUUUGCUAUAGAUUUGUAUAUAAAAUAUUUAUAAAUUUGACGGUAUUGGAGCCAAAAAAGUUAUUUUUUUAAGGAACCCUGGUGCAGACAACUGUUUUAAUAAAUGGAUAUUGUAGACAGUAAAGCUUGGUUAAAAAAUAUUAAAAUGAAGUACUCAAACUGUAAACCUAAUAUUAAUUAAACUUAAACAGAAUUAUUGGAAUCAACAGUUAUUCACUUGUAUUUUCUUUUUUAAUAUUUAAUAUGUAAAAAGGGCCUUUUUGUAUAAUUUCUAGAGCAUGUUGAGAAAUUAGCAUUUAUGCUCAGUAACAAGUGAGCUCAUGUGUUGCUAUUUCUGGAACAAAGCCAUUUUUUUAUUGUGAAUUUUUUCAAUAUGAGACAUAAAAACCAAAUAAGGAUCAUCAAGAGGAUUUCGAAUGGAGUACUUUCACCAAGUCAGUACUGAUACUUUAAUUAGGUAUCCUUGACACUUCCACGUGUCCUGGACCUGUACUUACUCAAGUGUUGACAAUUCCUGGUCAUGUUGUGUCAUUAUAUCAUUAUGUCAUUAAAAUGUUACCUCUCAUUGCACUCAUCUUCACUCUUUGGAGACACUUGAUAUGAUAGCUCUGGUUAAACAACGUAAUCAUCACUGUCUGGAGUUUUUAUCAACUUAGAGGUUAACGCUGUAAAGACAUGAGUGUACAAAAUGAUGAAAUGUUAAACAGAAGUUUAGUCACAAUAAGGUCACCACCAGAGGGUGGCUGUUGUACCGUAUGAUGCAUCAAAAGUUUACCAGUAGUUAUAACCUGAAAGAUCAGCUGAUGUUAAUCCCUCUUUUAUAGUUUAAAUGACGUUUCAGGAACGUUGCUUUGACUACCCUUUUAUGAACUCAAUCACAGUUUGAAUGUAAUUGUCGCAACACUUCAAUCAAAUGUGACCUUUAGAUUACCCAUUGAUUAUUGUUAUUUUAACUUCGUGGGUGUUUGAAGUAGCUCUGUGAACUGGAGUGAGCGGAAAUGAGAAGUGUUUCAGAGGUUGUUUGACUGCAGACUUGAGACCGUUCACUGCUGUUAAUCCUCCCAAGUACUAAGCACUGCUACUUUUAAUGCCUCCGGUCUCGGCAUGCAAGAUUUGGACAAAGCGAGGUCGGCCCGAACACACCAAAAAUAAAACACAGCCAGAAUCACGCAGUGCAUGUUUAAAUAGAAAUUUAAUUUAUCAUUACUCGUAUUUAAUCCAACUUCAACUCUGGCCUGGUGGACCACAGAGCCAUGACCUCAACCUUCCAGUAGGGGGCACAGCUUGCUCAACCUUCUAAAUGCCAAAAAUAGUCACAGACGUAGCAGUAAAAACUGUGAGUCAGUAUAAAUUGGUCAAUCACAAAGUUUUACUGCUUAUGCCUUGUUUGUUAAUAUAGAUGGAGCUGAAACCAUUCAUUCAUUAUUUUUCCAGAUUUUCCUGGUCAGGGUCAAGGACCAAUCAGUUCUUCGGACGUGUUCGGACCAGUUAUAUACACACACACAUAUAUAUGUAUAUACUUAUUUAUAUAUAUGUGUGUAUAUACCUAUGUUGACUUUACAAUGCAUAUUUGUAAAGAGUGUAAGGCACAGUUCAAGUAAAGAAUCUUCAUAAUUGUCACCUUUGACAUGUAACUCACUUUAAUUACUGUGGAUGAUGUAAAGAUUCAUAAAUAAGUCAGUAAAAACCUAAGAUUCAUCCACUCAUUAUUGCUGCCAAUGGUCAGCACAGUGUUGUGUCAUUAAAUAAGACGUGACAGUCAGUCAGACG